rnacentral:sRNA from 1 species
GUCGUAUCGGUUAGAUCGGGAUACUCUUCAAAUAAAAAUCGAAAACCGAGAAGACUCCUCUUGCUAAUGGCGGGCCAUAUAAAGCGUUUAUGCGCCUAAGCUGUAAAGCCGGUGGAUUACAAAGGCGGAGGGCUCUCAAAUCAUGUAUACUCGGAGUUUCAUCACAUCACCGGUACGGCCUUCUU